CGUAUCACCCAAGACAACUUUACGGAGUUGACGAUUGACGGAGCGAAGCGACGUCAAAGCGUUCAUUAAAGUCGAGUUGGCUUAGGGAUACGUUCGUUGGGUAGGGGAGCGUUCUGUAAGCCUGUGAAGGUGUGUCGUGAGGCAUGCUGGAGGUAUCAGAAGUGCGAAUGCUGACAUAAGUAACGAUAAAGCGGGUGAAAAGCCCGCUCGCCGGAAGACCAAGGGUUCCUGUCCAACGUUAAUCGGGGCAGGGUGAGUCGACCCCUAAGGCGAGGCCGAAAGGCGUAGUCGAUGGGAAACGGGUUAAUAUUCCCGUACUUGGUGUUACUGCGAAGGGGGGACGGAGAAGGCUAUGUUGGCCGGGCGACGGUUGUCCCGGUUUAAGCGUGUAGGUGUGUGUUCCAGGUAAAUCCGGUUCAC
rnacentral:rRNA from 1 species